rnacentral:rRNA from 1 species
GGAUUCCCCUAGUAACUGCGAGUGAAGCGGGAAGAGCUCAAAUUUAAAAUCUGGCAGUCUUCUGACUGUCCGAGUUGUAAUCUGGAGAAGCGUUUUCUGUGUUAGACCGUGUACAAGUCUCCUGGAACGGAGCGUCAUAGAGGGUGAGAAUCCCGUCCAUGACACGGACUACUAAUACUUUGUGAUACGCUCUCGAAGAGUCGAGUUGUUUGGGAAUGCAGCUCAAAAUGGGUGGUAAAUUCCAUCUAAAGCUAAAUACAGGCGAGAGACCGAUAGCGAACAAGUACCGUGAGGGAAAGAUGAAAAGCACUUUGGAAAGAGAGUUAAACAGUACGUGAAAUUGUUGAAAGGGAAACGCUUGAAGUCAGUCGCGCUGUGCAGAACUCAGCCUUGCCUCGGCUUGGUGUACUUUCUGCACAACGGGUCAACAUCAAUUUUGGCCCAUGGAGAAAGGUGGGGGGAAUGUAGCGCUGUUUCGGCAGCGUGUUAUAGCCCUCUAUUGUAUACAUGGGCUGGGAUUGAGGAUCGCAGCACGCCCUUGUGGCCGGGGGUUCGCCCUACGUACCGUGCUUGGGAUGUUGGCAGAAUGGCUUUAAGCGAC